rnacentral:piRNA from 1 species
GUGAGUAGCAUGGUGGACAGAGGGG